GCGGCAGGCCUAACACAUGCAAGUCGAGCGGAUGAAGGGAGCUUGCUCCUGGAUUCAGCGGCGGACGGGUGAGUAAUGCCUAGGAAUCUGCCUGGUAGUGGGGGAUAACGUCCGGAAACGGGCGCUAAUACCGCAUACGUCCUGAGGGAGAAAGUGGGGGAUCUUCGGACCUCACGCUAUCAGAUGAGCCUAGGUCGGAUUAGCUAGUUGGUGGGGUAAAGGCCUACCAAGGCGACGAUCCGUAACUGGUCUGAGAGGAUGAUCAGUCACACUGGAACUGAGACACGGUCCAGACUCCUACGGGAGGCAGCAGUGGGGAAUAUUGGACAAUGGGCGAAAGCCUGAUCCAGCCAUGCCGCGUGUGUGAAGAAGGUCUUCGGAUUGUAAAGCACUUUAAGUUGGGAGGAAGGGCAGUAAGUUAAUACCUUGCUGUUUUGACGUUACCAACAGAAUAAGCACCGGCUAACUUCGUGCCAGCAGCCGCGGUAAUACGAAGGGUGCAAGCGUUAAUCGGAAUUACUGGGCGUAAAGCGCGCGUAGGUGGUUCAGCAAGUUGGAUGUGAAAUCCCCGGGCUCAACCUGGGAACUGCAUCCAAAACUACUGAGCUAGAGUACGGUAGAGGGUGGUGGAAUUUCCUGUGUAGCGGUGAAAUGCGUAGAUAUAGGAAGGAACACCAGUGGCGAAGGCGACCACCUGGACUGAUACUGACACUGAGGUGCGAAA
rnacentral:rRNA from 1 species